CCCCUCCCCCCGCUCCCCCGGAGCGGGGUGCGGAGAAUGGCCUCCCGUGCGCCCCCGUCGCGCGGCCGGCCC
rnacentral:rRNA from 1 species